UUUUAUUAAGGUUAUUGUAAAGGCUUCUUAAAAAUGCUGUCGCUGAUGAGCCUCUGAUCGCUGUCAGAUUCUGUGAUAUGAAUGUCCGCUAAUGGGUUUAGAAUGAGCCCCGCUCGGCCAGUGUUCUGGCUUACUGUAAUAUUUCACCUGUAAUAAGACCGAAAUAAUAUAAUUAAAAUAAAGAAAUGAAUGAAUACAUGAUAACAUCUAAAUAAAUGUUGAUAGAUUUAGCGUUAUAGUUUUAAAAAUAUUAAUAAACAGCAAAUCAACACAGAAAGACCUAAAUAAUAAUAAUACAUAAUUAAUAAACAGCGCCGCCCCUCCCACUACGCGCAUCACGCGCUGUGCGUCAACCCCAAAGCGUCAAAAACUGAAGCGUGGUCAAGCGCCUCUAGCGUCACUGACAUGAGAUGUUUAUCGCUUUGAAAUGACGUUCAAGAAGUCUCAUUCAGCACACAUCGCGAUACUUUCCAUCAGUUUGCAAGAGCCGCAGGUUGGGUGAGUUAUACAGUCUAUGGUGAGUAGUAGUAAAUAUGCUCUUUUAAUGCCUGUCCUAAAACGUAUUCUGUCUUCUUUAUUAAUCAGAUGAGCGCCUUAUGUUUACUCUCUGUAUUACAUCGGUCAUCCGAGGCUGUCUUUGAGUUUCAUUGUGUUUAACUAAAUGAACACAGCUGCUAACUGGUUAAACUCUAUCGGUCACGUGACGUGACGUGACGUGCCACAGACCUGGGAUCCGUUUUAUAUUCAUUUCAGGUUCAAAGAUCUGAAAAGACGUAAAGUAAGCAGUCACCCCAGUGGUGUUUGUGGAGAGGUAUUCCUUCAGAAAUGGAGAAGACAGAAAGCUGCAGAGGCAGGAUUGUUUGCAGAUAAUGCUGUUCUUCUUUUUCAGAAGUUUUUGGGGAGCCAACCCUCACAAACCUUCCUAAAAACUAAAAGAGCUAUUACUGAGUCUCAGCGACUCUUGCCACAAUCAGCUCU